UGCGUAGACGGGAAGACAAGUUGGUUGUGAAAGUCCAUCGCUUAACGGUGGAUCUGCGCCGGGUACGGGCGGGCUGGAGUGCGGUAGGGGAGACUGGAAUUCCCGGUGUAACGGUGGAAUGUGUAGAUAUCGGGAAGAACACCAAUGGCGAAGGCAGGUCUCUGGGCCGUUACUGACGCUGAGGAGCGAAAGCGUGGGGAGCGAACA
rnacentral:rRNA from 1 species